GCAUAACGCGAAGAACCUUACCUAGUCUUGACAUCCCAAUGACCGGUCCGUAACGGGACCUUCUCUUCGGAGCAUUGGUGACAGGUGGUGCAUGGUUGUCGUCAGCUCGUGUCGUGAGAUGUUGGGUUAAGUCCCGCAACGAGCGCAACCCCUAUCUUUAGUAGCCAGCAGUUCGGCUGGCACUCUAGAGAGACUGCCAGGGAUAACUUGGAGGAAGGCGGGGAUGACGUCAAAUCAUCAUGCCCCUUAUGACUAGAGCUACACACGUGCUACAAUGGUGACUACAAAGUGAAGCAACCCUGUGAAGGUGAGCAAAUCACAAAAAGGUCAUCUCAGUUCGGAUUGUAGUCUGCAACUCGACUACAUGAAGCUGGAAUCGCUAGUAAUCGCAAUCAGAAUGUUGCGGUGAAUACGUUCCCGGGUCUUGUACACACCG
rnacentral:rRNA from 1 species